rnacentral:rRNA from 1 species
GAUGAACGCUGGCGGCGUGCCUAAUACAUGCAAGUCGAGCGAACAGAUGAGGAGCUUGCUCCUCUGACGUUAGCGGCGGACGGGUGAGUAACACGUGGAUAACCUACCUAUAAGACUGGGAUAACAUCGGGAAACCAGAGCUAAUACCGGAUAAUAUAUUGAACCGCAUUGUUCACUAGUGAAAUACGGUUUUUCUUUCACUUAUAGAUUGAUCCGGGCCGCAUUAACUAGUUGGUAAGGUAACGGCUUAACAAGGCAAGUAGGGGAAGACGACCCGAGAGCGAGAAUCGACAGCUUGUAAGUGAGGCUGGGCAGCGACACUUACACUGGGCCGCAGUCGAGACUCUUACGCGAUGGGGGAGAGCCGGACGGAGCAACACCGGGUGAGUGCUGAAGGUGUAAGGAUGGUAGAACUCUGUUAGUAGGAAAGAACAAAAGUGUAAGUAACCAUGCUCAUAUUGACGGUACCUAAUGAAAAAGCCCCGGCUAACUACGUG